ACGAACGCUGGCGGCGUGCUUAACCCAUGCCAGUCGAACGGAAAGGCCCCUUUGGGGGUACUCGAGUGGCGACCGGGUGAGUAACACGUGAGUAACCUGCCCUUGACUUCGGGAUAACUUCAGGAAACUGGGGCUAAUACCGGAUAGGAAUCCUUGCUGCAUGGUGGGGGUUGGAAAGCUUCGGCGGUUUUGGAUGGACUCGCGGCUUAUCAGCUUGUUGGUGGGGUAGUGGCUUACCAAGGCUUUGACGGGUAGCCGGCCUGAGAGGGCGACCGGCCACAUUGGGACUGAGAUACGGCCCAGACUCCUACGGGAGGCAGCAGUGGGGAAUAUUGCACAAUGGGCGGAAGCCUGAUGCAGCAACGCCGCGUGCGGGAUGACGGCCUUCGGGUUGUAAACCGCUUUCAGCAGGGGCGAAGCUUGUGGUGACGGUACCUGCAGAAGAAGCACCGGCUAACUACGUG
rnacentral:rRNA from 1 species